GUCUGGCUGGCUCAGUCAGUAAAGCAUGAGACUCCUGAUCUAGGGAUUGUGAGUUCGAGCCCCACGUUGGAUG
rnacentral:tRNA from 1 species